AGGCAUGCAGAUUGGAAGAUCCUAGCCAGUCUUUGGGCUUCUUUCAGUUGCAUAUGUCCUAUAAGAGAGACUCUAGUUUCAGAGUUUAAAUGGGCUCUUGAAUGCGACAAGGUUUCUAGAUCAUUGUUUUGUAGAUUUAUGAAGGGUUAUUCUUGGAAGCAAAUCUCAUAAGCUUCAAGGAAAAGCACGUUUUUUGGGGAUUGGCAGUCAUCAUAGACGAAUUUCAUCACAUAGCUUUAGUAGGGAAGGUGUUUCUAGACCUUUAUAUUUGAGCAGUUUCUGCCCCUCUGAUCUUCCAUCAUUGACAAAUUUGUUAUAUGUUUUACUGUGUUUGUCUUCUUUCAUACUGAGACCUAGCUUUUGAGAUUGUUAUUCAUUGUUAUCUUCUUUUAGGUUUAUGCACAGUUGAAUUGAACUGCAUUGAAUGGCCCGCUAACGGCACUGUAGAAAAUAUCUGUUUGUAAACAAUUAAUUUUGGUUUGGGUAAAAUGAUUUGCUACUGCUUUUUUCCAAGUUGCAAGUGACCUAAAUUGAGCUCCCACCAAAACUCCAGCAAUGAUAAUUUGGAUGAAUGCACCAUUUAGCUGAAAGCAAAUGUAACGACAUCGAAAUCUAGUCCUUAAGCCCCAAUACCAGACUGACACUAUCACUGAUGGGAAGGAAAUUCCUAUCUACUUUUUCCAGUUUCUAUACUACAACACAAUUCCAAUGGUUGAUUUUGCUUUUUAUUGGCUAAGUUGGCUUGGCCUAGCCCCACCAGAUCUAGGGGAUGAAGAGCUGAAACUCCAAUGAAGAAUUUCCUCUGAGAAAUAACUUUUUGUUGAAGAGGUUGGCUGUGUGGUGCACUGUAUACCGUCACUGUAAGGUCCCGCUAGGGUUGUAUGGGUGUUACAGUAAGGUCCCACUAGAGUUGUAUGGGUGGUGAAGCUAUUUGUGAUGGUCCAGACAGUUUAUUAGCUGUGUUCGUACCGUGGACUGGUUACAGCAGAGAGAGCUUUCCAAGAUGUCUCAACUGUUUGAGCAGUGACCCACAAAUGGAUGGUGUGGAAGAAUAUUGCUGCAUGUUGGUCGCAAAUCAGCCUUUAACAGGAAUAGCCUUUAACUGUUUGAGGAGCAAUCUUUGUUCUGCAUGAUUUGCAAGCAACUGCUCAUUUCCAGUUGGACCCACCGAUUGAUAUAGUUCAGAACAUGGACUGUUCUACCACUCAAUCAGUUUUGACUGCAGUGAUCUGUAGCUACCUCCCCUCCCUAUCCUCUCUGUUUUCCAGUUCUGCUGAUAUGUCACCUUUGUUUAGCAGAUUGAUUUCAGAUUUCCUUAGACAAGAAACCACCAUCAUAACAUAUCUUUGAUCUAAUGAAAAAUUAUCUUCAUAUGAAUCUCUUGAACCAAAAAACCAUAGAGAAACCUAUAAAAAUAAACUACAAAAUGCAUUUAAAAAAAAGGUAACAAGUGGGGAUAUGUGGAAUCCAUGGGGAGAAGAAAUUGGAUUUCCUUGAUAAGACGUCUGGGGCUGUUUCUGUGGGUGGAAAACACGGAAUUCUGCAACAUAACUUAUCUGUAGACGGCUGCUAUUCCUAAAGCAUCAGUCAUUCCUUUCCCCCUAGUUAGUUCAAAGGGCAGCUAACAGAGCAAGACACCAUUUUCUAAUUCUACCAUACCAAAGCUGAAAAAAGAACAUGUACUGAGUUUGACAUGAAGUGAAUAGAGGUGAUCCACUGUUUGGGCAUUCUUCGUACACAGCAGACAAGCAUUGGGGAGGAUCAUUCCUCUCCUGUAAAUUAGCAACAAAACAAAACAGCUGUUAUUUUGGUAAUCAAUACUGCUAAAAUUCUAGUUAUAUAAUUAAUAUUGAAAUAGUUAAUUUAAAAUAAGUUUUGCAUUAAUAUUGAGAUAAUUAGAUUUUUUUUUUUUUUUUUUUUGGAUAUUUUGAAAUGAUAUUUGUGAUAAUGGUCGUGGACACCAGUCACCUCCCACACAGCUUUUGUGCAAUUCUCCUGCUAUCCAGAUUACCAUGCAAAAAUCUGUGUACACCACCCGGCAAACCCUCUUUUAGAUAGUUACCACUCGUAGAAUUCAUCUUCUCUGUAGCUAAUACAUUGGAUGGUCCAGACUGAAAAAUGAAUCUCAUCUUGACGUGUAGCUAAUCCAGUGGAUGGUCCAGACUGAAAAAUGAAUCUCAUCUUGACGUGUAGCUAAUCCAAUGGAUGGUCCAGACUGAAAAAUAUAUUUCAUCCGCGUGGGUUUGAGGUUAUGGUGGAUCCAAGCUGUAUCCAAGCCGGAUGGUUUCGAUGGAUUGAAAUUUUUUUGCUGUUGAAUUUUCAGAGAUGGUGCCAUAAUUUUCUUGAAAAACUUGAAUAUGCAUUUCUGGAAAGCGGGGAUUUUCCAUGAAAAGCAAUUACGUUAUUAUAUGUUACACAUUACCAAACACCCCUUGAAAGGAAAGGAAAGCGUUUCAGCAGUAGGCAUUUCCGUGCAGCAGCCCACUUGAGAGUUUAGUUUUGGAUCUUUCUUAAUUAAUUAUGUAGCUUCUACUGUUAAAAGGCACUGGGGUCAAAUUGUUUUUCGAAGACUUGUGCGCAUGUUACCUCAAUUGCAUGCAUCACUUUUCUUCAACUAAUUUUAUAUAAUAAU